GGCUCCUUAGUUCAAAGGAUAGAACAAAGGUCUUCUAAACCUUAAAUUCCAGUUCGAGUCUGGAAGGAGUCA
rnacentral:tRNA from 1 species